AACGAACGCUGGCGGCAGGCUUAACACAUGCAAGUCGAACGGGUGUAGCAAUACAUCAGUGGCAGACGGGUGAGUAACACGUGGGAACCUUCCUAGGGGUACGGAACAACUCAGGGAAACUUGAGCUAAUACCGUAUACGUCCGUGAGGAGAAAGAUUUAUCGCCCUUGGACGGGCCCGCGUCGGAUUAGCUAGUUGGUGGGGUAACGGCCUACCAAGGCGACGAUCCGUAGCUGAUCUUAGAGGAUGAUCAGCCACACUGGGACUGAGACGCGGCCCAGACUCCUACGGGAGGCAGCAGUGGGGAAUCUUGGACAAUCGGCGCGAGCCUGAUCCAGCCAUGCCGCGUGAGUGAAGAAGGUCUUCGGAUUGUAAAGCUCUUUUGCCAGGGACGAUAAUGACGGUACCUGGAGAAUAAGCCCCGGCAAACUUCGUGCCAGCAGCCGCGGUAA
rnacentral:rRNA from 1 species